rfam:Mesocricetus auratus contig117339, whole genome shotgun sequence.
UUCCGUGUGCCUUUGGGACCUUCAUGCUGUGGCUGUCUUCCUUUCUGGCCAAUGAAGAGCAGGUUCUUCUUUGUCUGCAGAGCUGUAACCAUUUAAUAGGUAUUAGGUUCUUCUUUUUUUUUGAGUUUU